rnacentral:rRNA from 1 species
AGUGAACGCUGGCGGCAGGCCUAAUACAUGCAAGUCGAACGGCAGCACAGCAGAGCUUGCUCUGUGGGUGGCGAGUGGCGGACGGGUGAGGAAUACGUGGGAAUCUGCCCAGUCGUGGGGGAUAACGUAGGGAAACUUACGCUAAUACCGCAUGCGCCCUUCGGGGAAAGCCGGGGACCUUCGGGCCUGGCGCGAUUGGAUGAGCCCACGUCGGAUUAGCUAGUUGGCGGGGUAAAGGCCCACCAAGGCGACGAUCCGUAGCUGGUCUGAGAGGAUGAUCAGCCACACUGGAACUGAGACACGGUCCAGACUCCUACGGGAGGCAGCAGUAGGGAAUAUUGGACAAUGGCGCAAGCCUGAUCCAGCCAUGCCGCGUGAGUGAAGAAGGCCCUCGGGUUGAAAGCUCUUUUGUCCGGAAAAGAAAAGACGCCGGGUUAAU